GACGAACGCUGGCGGCGUGCCUAAUACAUGCAAGUCGAACGCAGUGGGGACGGGUGCGUAACACGUGGGUAACCUCCCAUCAGAGGGGAUAACACUUGGAAACAGGUGCUAAACCGAUCCUGAUGGAUGGACCCGCGGUGCAUUAGCUAGUUGGUGAUGUAACGGCUCACCAGGGCCACGAUUCAUAGCCGACCGGAGAGGGUUAUCGGCCACACUGGGAUUGAGACAGGGACCAUACGCCUACGGGAGGCAGCAGUAGGGAAUCUUCGGCAAUGGACGAAAGUCUGACCGAGCAACGCCGCGUGAGUGAAGAAGUGUUUCGGAUCGUAAAACUCUGUUGUUAGAGAAGCGGUAUCUAACCAGAAAGCCACGGCUAACUACGUGCCAGCAGCCGCGGUAAUUC
rnacentral:rRNA from 1 species